rnacentral:rRNA from 1 species
CCUACGGGUGGCAGCAGUGAGGAAUAUUGGUCAAUGGACGAGAGUCUGAACCAGCCAAGUAGCGUGAAGGAUGACUGCCCUAUGGGUUGUAAACUUCUUUUAUAUGGGAAUAAAAUGUUCCACGUGUGGGAUUUUGUAUGUACCAUAUGAAUAAGGAUCGGCUAACUCCGUGCCAGCAGCCGCGGUAAUACGGAGGAUCCGAGCGUUAUCCGGGUUUAUUGGGUUUAAAGGGUGCGUAGGUGGAUUUUUAAGUCAGUUGUGAAAGUUUGGGGCUCAACCGUAAAAGUGCCGUUGAAACUGGAAGUCGUGAGUACAGUUGAGGUAGGCGGAAUUCGUGGUGUAGCGGUGAAAUGCUUAGAUAUCACGAAGAACUCCGAUUGCGAAGGCAGCUCACUGGACUGCAACUGACACUGAGGCUCGAAAGUGUGGGUAUCAAACAGGAUUAGAUACCCGAGUAGUC